GCAGCUUUUCUUCUUUUUCAGUAACUGUUGUGUUUCCUUUGUGUGAAUGCCCUUGUAACAAUGUCACACCAAGCUGACUCAACAAGAUGAAUUUUAAACGUGUGGCUUUCUUGUUACUACUACUUCAGCUGUUUACACUCUGGUCAGGGCAGCUUGUGUUCAGCUACGCAGCCAUGUUUACACCAGAGAGCAGGACAAGCUAGCGGCACUAACCCGACAUUAGAGGGAUUACUCUGCUGUUUCAACGGAUGGUUUCCAGAUCAUAUGGGCAGACAGGACAAAGGAGAGUGGAUGAAAUAUCACCUCAUGUCACAGGCCGACAAGUUUACAGAGGCUGAGGUAAACCAGAUGUUUACAAACUUCCCCCCGGAUGCCACUGGUAACCUCGUGAUCACACAGAGAGGACAAAGAGCAGGAGUGAAAGGAGGAUGAGAAUAAACAGAAGGAUGAAAAAGAAGAGGAGGACGAGGAGGAGGAGCUGCAGUGGAGCCUC